GACGAACGCUGGCGGCGUGCCUAACACAUGCAAGUCGAACGAUGAAGAAAAGAAUCGAAGCUUCGGCAGAAAUUCAUUUCGGAUUAGUGGCAGACGGGUGAGUAACGCGUGAGCAACCUACCUCUUACAAAGGGAUAGCCUCGGGAAACCGGGAUUAAUACCAUAUAACAUUGCGACGAAGCAUUUCGAUGCAAUCAAAGCUACGGCGGUAAGAGAUGGGCUCGCGUCCCAUUAACCGGAUGGUGAGGUAACGGCUCACCAUAGUGACGAUGGGUAACCGGCCUGAGAGGGUGAACGGUCACACUGGAACUGAGACACGGUCCAGACUCCUACGGGAGGCAGCAGUGGGGAAUAUUGCACAAUGGAGGGAACUCUGAUGCAGCGACGCCGCGUGAGUGAUGAAGGAAUUCGUUUCGUAAAACUCUGUUCUAUGGGAAGAAAAGGACUGUACCAUAGGAGAAAGCUCCGGCUAAAUACGUG
rnacentral:rRNA from 1 species